rnacentral:rRNA from 1 species
CCUACGGGAGGCUGCAGUGGGGAAUAUUGGACAAUGGGCGAAAGCCUGAUCCAGCCAUGCCGCGUGUGUGAAGAAGGCCUUCGGGUUGUAAAGCACUUUCAGUGGGGAAGAAAGCCUUGGGGCUAAUACCCUCGAGGAAGGACAUCACCCACAGAAGAAGCACCGGCUAACUCCGUGCCAGCAGCCGCGGUAAUACGGAGGGUGCGAGCGUUAAUCGGAAUUACUGGGCGUAAAGCGCGCGUAGGCGGUCUGAUAAGCCGGUUGUGAAAGCCCCGGGCUCAACCUGGGAACGGCAUCCGGAACUGUCAGGCUAGAGUGCAGGAGAGGAAGGUAGAAUUCCCGGUGUAGCGGUGAAAUGCGUAGAGAUCGGGAGGAAUACCAGGGGCGAAGGCGGCCUUCUGGACUGACACUGACGCUGAGGUGCGAAAGCGUGGGUAGCAAACAGGAUUAGAUACCCGAGUAGUC